rnacentral:lncRNA from 1 species
AUCUUUCUAAGGUAAAUUGGCCCCAUCAAUUUUAACUCUGUUGGCGCAAUAUUGUCUAAUUUCGUCCAUACUUUCUUAUGUGAGUACGUCUGACAGGAACCUGUUAAUUCAUACACUGCAAAGAUGAACUGAAUUAUCAACAACAACUAUUUCUUCAUGCUCUCUUGCGGUAUCAAUUUUAAUUUUUUGUGAUUAUAGAGAAUGUGCUAAUGUAUAAGCCCUUCUUGUUCGAGUCACAGUUCAGUUUGGAGGUUCCUGCAGGUCGAGAACUGCACGAUCUAACAUGAACAGAUCCAUGUGAAUUGUGCCUUCCUUGAUGCCCAUGCAGACAUGAUUCCCCUAGCCUUGGGGUCGAAUCAAUGGUACCUUAUGGCAUGCAUUGUGAGGUAGUUAAUUUGCAUGAAUCUGCAACCUAAACCAUGAUCUGUUAGUUGUCCCGGUGACAAGCUGAUGGUGCCUCUAGUUACUCCUUGCGGAGACCAACAUACAACUAGCAAAUGGGACACACGUCCUAGGGGAGAUGCACCGCCAGACUCUGUAUUUUUAUAGUAGAUUUCGAGGAGAUGCACCGCCAGAGUCUGUAUUUUUA